ensembl:lncRNA
GAGCAAGUGAGAAAGAGACAGGACUCAGACAGACCAGAGUUCUGAAAGGAGACCGAAGUCCUCGUCCGCAUUCUACUUUCUGCUAAAGUAAGCUCGAUUUCCUAAAGCUAGACUAUAGGACAUGUAUUCUAAUCGUAUUCAGGCCGACAUUUCGUAGACUAUCGCAGUGUUCCGACAUCGUGGACGGCGUGUUGCAGCGAAGGCUCGCCACUGUUCAGGGAGUGGGCGAGGCGCCGAGGUCCGGACCGUACUGCUCGGUCGACCGGGCAGGAGCGACAGGAUCGGUGGUCAAGGUGGGGCGCCUAGACGUUUUAAUGGGGGAGAACCCUACUACACAAAACUCACCUCCACUGGAUCUAAAUUCAACCCGGGGCCAGCCCCACAGACACAAACGAGGUACCCUCUCCCCUUUACCCGCUUUUUAGCUCAUUUUGUCUUAGAGUUUUUGUUUCUUAAACCUGCCACCAGUUCCCUGUUCUUCUACGGUGUUCUGAGUCCACAAUCCGUCCUUCUAAAACGCUGCAUUAGGAAUUCUUUGAAGCUGUUCCAAAGGGACCACGCCCAGUGGGACCACGCCCCAGUGGGGGGGGGGCCUGAGCUCUGAGUUCAGGCCCCUUGGUGCAACACACCCCAGUGGGGGGGGGCCUGAUUGGUUGGUUAAGAUAACCUGGAAGCAGAAGCCAUCAGAAUUAGUUAAUUUGUUUUACCUUAUGGAUCAUGUGCAGCUAGACAAUGGGGUAGGUAAAGUUAUUUUCAUGUUAGCUAAGUGUGGUCAGCGGGUAAGUGUUAGAGGUUAGGCGUCUGGCCUCUGAGAGACUAUGCAGAUGUACAGCUGCAAAGAAAAAGUACCGGCUCGGAGCAGAGAGUAGCAGGGGAAUAUCUACCCGGCUUCUCUCUGCUGAAACCAGGUCAUGACAAUUAGUCUUUUCUGAUUGGCUCAAAUUAGUGCACACACAGUAAUGUCGAACAAGUUCUCGAUAGAAGUUCUGCGUCUCACAGCGCCCCCAUCUGUCCUCAUCCCGCUAUGACAUGAGCCAUGCAUAUUGGAUUGUUUCAGUAACGUUGUUAUUCGUGUAGUAAUCGCUCAGUGUGUUUUCUAUUUCUAUUCUAAACCCACUAAAACACCAGUUCCUGUUCCCUGCAUACUGUCAUCCUCCGCCAACAUCCUGUGGUAGAGAACCUGUGUGUGUGUGUGUGUGUGUGUGUGUGUGUGUGUGUUUUGGAGCUCCCCCGGCUCUGUCCGUGGGUUGCUUUGCGGAGACGAGGAGGAAGAUACUGAGAGCUGGAGGAUGAAGAGGAGGGCUGUGAAGAUGUAAAAUCCUUAUUGGGUUGUAAUGAACAAAAACUCAAACUCAGCCCUAAAAGUCUUAGGAUAGGAUGUUUAGUAUGUACGCUUAUUAUAGGCUUGCAGGUUUAGAUUAGGUCAUGAAUGGUUAAUUAUGAGAGAAAAAUAACAGAAAGGAUAUAACCUUUGACCAGAUCUUUCUGGAAGGGGUUGCUUCACGUGUGCGUUACCAGCAAGAGAGGGCCGGGACAUCUGAGCCUACUUCAAGGGGAGCGAUAUCCGUUUCGGUAACAUGGGUUUAGUGGUAAGAGA